rnacentral:rRNA from 1 species
AUGCACGCUAGCUACAGGCUUAACACAUGCAAGUCGAGGGGCAGCAUGAUUGAAGCUUGCUUCAAUCGAUGGCGACCGGCGAACGGGUGAGUAACACGUAUCCAACCUGCCGAUAACUCGGGGAUAGCCUUUCGAAAGAAAGAUUAAUACCCGAUAGUAUAGUAUUUCCGCAUGGUUUCACUAUUAAAGAACUUCGGUUAUCGAUGGGGAUGCGUUCCCUUAGAUAGUUGGCGGGGUAACGGCCCACCAAGUCAACGAUGGAUAGGGGUUCUGAGAGGAAGGUCCCCCACAUUGGAACUGGGACACGGUCCAAACGCCUACGGGAGGCAGCAGUGAGGAAUAUUGGACAAUGGACGAGAGUCUGAACCAGCCAAGUAGCGUGAAGGAUGACUGCCAUAUGGGUUGUAAACUUCUUUUAUACGGGAAUAAAGUGGAGUAUGCAUACUCCUUUGUAUGAACCGGAUGAAUAAGGAUCGGCUAACUCCGUG